GAUGAACGCUAGCGGCAGGCCUAAUACAUGCAAGUCGAGGGGUAGCAAGAUUGUAGCAAUACAAUUGUUGACGACCGGCAAACGGGUGCGGAACACGUACACAACCUUCCUACAAGUGGGGAAUAGCCCAGAGAAAUUUGGAUUAAUACCCCGUAACAUAGCGAUGUGGCAUCACAUUGCUAUUAUAGCUUCGGCGCUUGUUGAUGGGUGUGCGGCUGAUUAGAUAGUUGGCGGGGUAACGGCCCACAAAGUCUACGAUCAGUAGCUGAUGUGAGAGCAUGAUCAGCCACACGGGCACUGAGACACGGGCCCGACUCCUACGGGAGGCAGCAGUAAGGAAUAUUGGACAAUGGACGCAAGUCUGAUCCAGCCAUGCCGCGUGAAGGAUUAAGGUCCUCUGGAUUGUAAACUUCUUUUAUAAGGGACGAAAAAAGGUCUUUCUAGAUCGUCUGACGGUACCUUAUGAAUAAGCAUCGGCUAACUCCGUGCCAGCAGCCGCCGUAAGAC
rnacentral:rRNA from 1 species